UACAGAGGUCUCAAGCGUUGUUCGGAUUCAUUGGGCGUAAAGGGUGCGUAGGCGGCUGCGGUAAGUCGGGUGUGAAACUCUCGGGAGCUUAACUUCCGAAACUGCAAUUCGGAUACUGCCGUGCUUGAGGACUGGAGAGGAGACUGGAAUUUACGGUGUAGCGGUGAAAUGCGCAGAUAUCGAGGGAGGAACACCGAUGGGCGAAGGCAGGUCGUCUGGGCCACUACUGACGCUGGAGAAGCGAAAGCAUGGGGAGCGAACAGG
rnacentral:rRNA from 1 species